rnacentral:rRNA from 1 species
UGGGGAAUAUUGGACAAUGGGCGAAAGCCUGAUCCAGCCAUGCCGCGUGUGUGAAGAAGGUCUUCGGAUUGUAAAGCACUUUAAGUUGGGAGGAAGGGCAGUAAGCGAAUACCUUGCUGUUUUGACGUUACCGACAGAAUAAGCACCGGCUAACUCUGUGCCAGCAGCCGCGGUAAUACAGAGGGUGCAAGCGUUAAUCGGAAUUACUGGGCGUAAAGCGCGCGUAGGUGGUUCGUUAAGUUGAAUGUGAAAGCCCCGGGCUCAACCUGGGAACUGCAUCCAAAACUGGCGAGCUAGAGUAGGGCAGAGGGUGGUGGAAUUUCCUGUGUAGCGGUGAAAUGCGUAGAUAUAGGAAGGAACACUAGUGGCGAAGGCGACCACCUGGGCUCAUACUGACACUGAGGUGCGAAAGCGUGGGGAGCAAACAGG